rnacentral:miRNA from 1 species
AAACCCAGAAAAGCGACGGACAGU